UCUGUUUAAAUCACAGGUGAAGAAAGGGCCGGGCAAGACCGGUGCCAGCCGCCGCGGUAAUACCGGCGGCUCGAGUGGUGGCCACUAUUACUGGGCUUAAAGCGUUCGUAGCUGGUUUGUUAAGUCUCUGGGGAAAUCUUCCGGCUUAACCGGAAGGCGUCUCAGGGAUACUGGCAGACUAGGGACCGGGAGAGGUGAGGGGUACUCCAGGGGUAGGAGUGAAAUCCUGUAAUCCUUGGGGGACCACCUGUGGCGAAGGCGCCUCACCAGAACGGCUCCGACAGUGAGGGACGAAAGCUGGGGGAGCAAACCGGAUUAGAUACCCGGGUAGUCCCAGCUGUAAACGAUGCGCGUUAGGUGUAUCAGUGACCACGAGUCACUGAGGUGCCGAAGAGAAAUCGUGAAACGUGCCGCCUGGGAAGUACGGUCGCAAGGCUGAAACUUAAAGGAAUUGGCGGGGGAGCACCACAACGGGUGGAGCCUGCGGUUUAAUCGGACUCAACGCCGGGAAACUCACCAGUUAAGACAGCUGAAUGAUAGUCGGGCUGAAGACUCUACUUGACUAGCUGAGAGGAGGUGCAUGGCCGUCGUCAGUUCGUACUGUGAAGCAUCCUGUUAAGUCAGGCAACGAGCGAGACCCACGCCAACAGUUGCUAGCUCGUCCUCCGGGAUGGAGAGGACACUGUUGGGACCGCCUCUGCUAAAGAGGAGGAAGGAAUGGGCAACGGUAGGUCAGCAUGCCCCGAAUUAACUGGGCUACACGCGGGCUACAAUGGGUGGGACAAUGGGUAUCGACACCGAAAGGUGAAGGCAAUCUCCUAAACCCAUCCUUAGUUCGGAUUGUGGGU
rnacentral:rRNA from 1 species